rnacentral:rRNA from 1 species
CAAUAGCGUAUAUUGAAGUUGUUGCAGUUAAAAAGCUCGUAGUUGGAUUUCUGGUGGGAGCGAUCGGUCUGGCGCUUAGCGCGAGUACUUGCAUCGUCUCCGGCCAUCCUUGGGGAGAGUCUGUCUGGCAUUAAGUUGUCGGGCAGAGGAUCCUCAUCGUUUACUGUGAAAAAAUUAGAGUGUUCAAAGCAGGCUUAUGCCGUUGAAUAUAUUAGCAUGGAAUAAUAAGAUAGGACUUUGGUACUAUUUUGUUGGUUUGCGCACCAAAGUAAUGAUUAAUAGGGACAGUUGGGGGUAUUCGUAUUCCGUUGUCAGAGGUGAAAUUCUUGGAUUUACGGAAGACGAACUACUGCGAAAGCAUUUACCAAGGAUGUUUUCAUUAA